UAGGGAAUCUUCGGCAAUGGGGGGAACCCUGACCGAGCAACGCCGCGUGAGUGAAGAAGGUUUUCGGAUCGUAAAGCUCUGUUGUUAAGGAAGAACGAGUGUGAGAAUGGAAAGUUCAUGCUGUGACGGUACUUAACCAGAAAGGGACGGCUAACUACGUGCCAGCAGCCGCGGUAAUACGUAGGUGGCAAGCGUUGUCCGGAUUUAUUGGGCGUAAAGCGAGCGCAGGCGGUCAAUUAAGUCUGAUGUGAAAGCCCCCGGCUCAACCGGGGAGGGUCAUUGGAAACUGGUUGACUUGAGUGCAGAAGAGGAGAGUGGAAUUCCAUGUGUAGCGGUGAAAUGCGUAGAUAUAUGGAGGAACACCAGUGGCGAAAGCGGCUCUCUGGUCUGUAACUGACGCUGAGGCUCACAAGCGUGGGGAGCGAACAGG
rnacentral:rRNA from 1 species